rnacentral:rRNA from 1 species
AGUGAACGCUGGCGGCGUGCCUAACACAUGCAAGUCGAACGCGAAAGUCCUCUUCGGGGGACAAGUAGAGUGGCAGACGGGUGAGUAAUACAUAGGUAAUCUUCCCUUGAGUGGGGGACAACCUGCCGAAAGGCGAGCUAAUCCCGCAUAAUAUCAUGAAACAUAAGUUUUGUGAUCAAAGAGGGGGAUCCUUCGGGACCUUUCGCUUAAGGAUGAGCCUAUGUCCUAUUAGCUAGUUGGUGGGGUAAUGGCCUACCAAGGCGAUGAUGGGUAGCCGAGCUGAGAGGCUGAACGGCCACACUGGAACUGAAACACGGUCCAGACUCCUACGGGAGGCAG